UACGUAGGGUGCAAGCGUUGUCCGGAAUUAUUGGGCGUAAAGAGCUCGUAGGCGGUUUGUCGCGUCUGCUGUGAAAACUCGGGGCUUAACCCCGGGCCUGCAGUGGGUACGGGCAGACUAGAGUGCGGUAGGGGAGACUGGAAUUCCUGGUGUAGCGGGGAAAUGCGCAGAUAUCAGGAGGAACACCGGUGGCGAAGGCGGGUCUCUGGGCCGUAACUGACGCUGAGGAGCGAAAGCGUGGGGAGCGAACAGG
rnacentral:rRNA from 1 species